AUUGAACGCUGGCGGCAGGCCUAACACAUGCAAGUCGAGCGGAUGAAGGGAGCUUGCUCCUGGAUUCAGCGGCGGACGGGUGAGUAAUGCCUAGGAAUCUGCCUGGUAGUGGGGGAUAACGUCCGGAAACGGGCGCUAAUACCGCAUACGUCCUGAGGGAGAAAGUGGGGGAUCUUCGGACCUCGCGCUAUCAGAUGAGCCUAGGCCGGAUUAGCUAGUUGGUGGGGUAAAGGCCUACCAAGGCGACGAUCCGUAACUGGUCUGAGAGGAUGAUCAGUCACACUGGAACUGAGACACGGUCCAGACUCCUACGGGAGGCAGCAGUGGGGAAUAUUGGACAAUGGGCGAAAGCCUGAUCCAGCCAUGCCGCGUGUGUGAAGAAGGUCUUCGGAUUGUAAAGCACUUUAAGUUGGGAGGAAGGGCAGUAAGUUAAUACCUUGCUGUUUUGACGUUACCAACAGAAUAAGCACCGGCUAACUUCGUG
rnacentral:rRNA from 1 species